UGAAAAAUUAUAGACCCAUCCUUUAAGAUGAAGUCUACUAAUGUUGCAUAGAAUCAUAACAGUUUUAAACAAUAUCAUAUCAUCUAAAUGUUAUUAACUGAAAGUAGCACUCACUCAUCAGAUAAGGCAGGUGAGCAAAUGUCACAUUAUGUUACCAUAAUGGUUCUCAAAUUUUUUCUGUCAAGCCCCCCUUUAGAAGCCGAAUGAAGUUCAAGCCCCCCGACACCAGCAAGAGUGGAUUACAUAUUUAUCAAUCAUUAACAACACGGACAACCGGAGCUUUACUCAACUCUGAAACUACACAUCAGAAAAAAAGUUGCCUGAAUCAAACAGCAGAGUUUCUAUAUGGUCACUAAGGUCUCAUGUACAGGCAACUUCCUGACUGCAUGUCCAGCAACUCUAAAUGAAACUGACUGGUAUAUUGCAUCGCAGGUGCUAAUUUGGGAGAGAUGCGUUGGAGAAAACCAUUACGAUACAGAUGAAUGAAUCAGAAACUGGAAUCCAAAAGACCAAGACAUCUGGGCUGAGCUUGAAUUCUUGGCUUGCUUAAGCAUCAAGAGUACGAAAGCCAAGAAUUAAAGCUCUUUGAUGUCACCAUUCAUUGCAAGAUGAUAGCACAUUCAGCACAGUAAAACCUCAGUGUUCCUGCUAAUGAUGACAGAGGAGGCCAAUAUAGCAGCAAGAUCCAGGGGAA